rnacentral:rRNA from 1 species
AGCGAACGUUAGCGGCGCGCCUAACACAUGCAAGUCGCACGGAGUAGCAAUACUCAGUGGCGCACGGGUGCGUAACACGUAGAUAACCUGCCCCGAAGAGGGGGAUAACGUUCCGAAAGGAGCGCUAAUACCGCAUAACGCCGAGAUGGGUUCGCCUGUUUCGGACAAAGGUUGGGACCAGCAAUGGCCAAUCGUUUUGGGAGGGGUCUGCGGCCCAUCAGCUAGUUGGUAAGGUAAAGGCUUACCAAGGCAAAGACGGGUAGCUGGUCUGAGAGGAUGAUCAGCCACACUGGUACUGGAACACGGACCAGACACCUACGGGUGGCUG